GUCGGGGGUGCGCGAGGAGCGCAAGCUGAAACUGAAGCUUGUCGUGACGAACGCGGGUAACGGUGGAGGUUCGAAUCCUCCCCCUGGCACCA
rnacentral:tRNA from 1 species